CAAUUAGAAAUGUAAAAAUGUGGGUUCAAAUCAGGCCCGCAAAUCAAAGAACCAAUAAGGAACUCAGAGCAGGCACAGACAUUUGAAACCCAUGAUUCAGUUUCCGUGCACAGUACCAUGCUACAAUCAUUCUGUUUAAUCCAGAGCAUCGGCUUAAUUGUACACGGAUAUAACAUCAACUAUGCAAACAACUAUCAUAACAUCAAUGAAAACAAAC
rnacentral:sRNA from 1 species